rnacentral:tRNA from 1 species
AAAUAUGAUACAGCCCUGGAUCUGCAAAAUCCAAUAAAGCGAAAUACCGCCUCAUAUCU